CCAGCCGAGCUCCGCGCACCGAGCCCCGUGCCAGCCGAGCUCGGUACUCAGCCAGCUCCGGCCCCUCUUCCGACCCUCGGACAGCCUGGAUGUGUGGCCACAGAUGCCAGGAGAAGAUGAGGUGAGAGGAGCCCAAGUGGCUUCUUCAGGGAUCCUUGCCUUCCAAGGGGCGAUGAGGAACAGCUGUAUCUGGCCCCAGGGAAGAUCACAACUCCUGGUACUCAUAAAAUCCAAGUCCCCACCACGUUGCCUUCCACUCUGGCUCUUCUGCAGAAAUCCCCAGGAGUAGAAACCUCAUUGCGCAGUCCUCAGGGAUUCCUACAGUUUUAUUUGCUCCUCCAGGGAAAAGCGAGGAAGUCUGAGCCACGAAGGAAGGUGUGGAUCACCCCGCCCAGCUCCUGCUGACCUAGAGGUCCCUCUGCUCUUGCUGUCCUCAGCCUGUCCCCUUGCACAGCCGAGGGGCUGGCUGCACACCAGCCGGAGGGGGAGCACAAAGGCUCUCCCAUCCCGGCCGCUGGAAAGCAGCAUGGGAACCGCUGCCCAGCGCGGAUCUGUUCCUCAUUAUCCGCCCCGGCUGCCUGAGCCCGGCUCCGUCCCGCCCGCUCGCAUCCCGCCGGCCGAGCGGCUCCUGCGCACCUGGGGUCCGCAUCCCCCUGCGGAUAACCCAGCGGGAAAACGAGUUAUUCCCUUCCCACCAGGCAGAGGAGGCUUCCAGGGAGCAGGGAUCGCUGCUUCAGGUGCGAAGAGCGGGAAGGAAAACACAGAAUUCAGUGUUUGGUCUGAUUGCAGGUGGGAUGGACGGAUGGACAUGAGGAGGCAGGAGCAAGGAACAGACUGAUGUGUCUCCGAAAUAUUUGUACCAGAUACAACCAAACUGAACACCUCUUCUGAAUUCUUCUGCAUUUGCCUUCCUGCUGCUCUCCAUGAGAACAUGAGCGUGGCCAAAGCCUCUGCCAUGCUUUGUGUGAGAGGUGAGGAGCUGGCUCCUAGUCACCCACUUCCCCCUGCUUCUGCCUGUAUAGAGCAGUGUGAAAACCUCCCAAGAGGGUGUCAGAAGUGCUCCAGAAACAGAGCAGGAUCAGCAACGACACAUGUAAGUCAACUGCACCCUUGCUGCAGUGGAGAAUGUGAAGCUGGCAGGUCCAAGAAAAUUAUUAUUUCUUGGAUUUGGUGCCUGUGAGACACAAGUGGGUGCUAGUUCCAAUUGGGGGCUUCCCAAAAGAACAUAUAUAUUUAUACAUAUAUACAUGUAUAUAUGUCAGAGAGAACCAGCUGUAAGAAGAUAAGGCAGAGGAGAGCUACCAACAAGGUGGCACACAGAAGCCCAACUAUUCCCAGAGAAGCACUUGGAAGAACAAGACAACCUGCCCCAGGGGAAAUAUUUACUGAGCACAAGGAGAAAUUAAUUCUGUGCAAGACUGCUGUAGCUGUGGUGUGGCUUUGGGAUGGGGACAGUUGACACCUCCAUCCUCAGGGACAUUCCAAAUCCAGUGGGACAGGGCUCCGAGCUACCUGGUCUAGCUUUGCUACCAGCCCUGCAUGGAGCUGGGAUUGGACCAUGGGCUUCCCAAGCCCCUUCCAGUCUGAAAUUUACCUGAUGCUCCAAUGUGCAUUGUGCAAAAGCAAUGUGGUGAUUUUAAGACUCACUUGUGAGAUGGCCAAGAUCAAUCCCUCUUCCACACAGCUGAUGUCAGAUCUGCCUUACAUCCCCUGCUGACUUCACAAGUUUUGCUACCACAGAGGAACUGGAGGAGCUGAGUGCUGGAGAAAGCAAAUGCCUGUGGGAAAAAAGUGUGGGUUUAAUGGCAGGCUUUAAACAGAAGCCUGGGUGCAAAAUGAUAUGUCUGUGAUAGUCUGCCCUGGGAUGGGGUUGCUGACAGUCACAGUUGGAGGGUUGUGUGUUCUGGGUUAGAGUCUGACAAGCAGCUCCUGUGGCUGUGCCUUACUCUGUCCUGGAGAAGCAGAAGUUUGGGCACAUGCAUUCGUGGUUUGGCCCACUCUUCAUGUUUUUCCACUGAAGCACUUCAGUAUUUUUAGGCUGAAAGAGAGGACUCUGCUAUGCUGGAAGGACCAGAGCAGUUCUGUGCAGGCAGGACACUCCAAGGUGAAGUACAAGACUAAAAACCAGCCAGGAGCCACCAUCCCUGCUCACAACAAGGUGGUGUUGAGGGUGGGAAGAAGGGGCUCCAAGCUGCUGGCUGGUGGCAUGGAGAGCCUGCACACACAUCACUGCUAGGCUCAGAUGUCUGGAUGAGAGAGCAGCAACCAGCCCCAGCAUUUCCUGAAGCUGAGAUGUCUGCUUUCCCUCCUCUGAGGACCUGGAGGACGCAGACCCACCUCUUCCAGGAAAGCACCUGGCCCACACAGCCUGGUGUGCUGCCAAGGUGAUUGUUGCAGGCGAUGCUGGCACUGGGGCCCAGCACACAGAGCACAGCUCAGCCAGCAGCGUUGGUGGUGGAUGCAAGGCAGAUGGGGAAUGUCACAAGAACCAAGAGCUUCCAGAGGGCCCAGUGCAAGCUAACAGGGCCAGAAGCUGUAUUUGACCCUGCCAAAAAGAACCAGGGGUUGAUGGUGGAUGCCAGGUUCAAUACAAGCCAAACAUCUGCCUUGUGAAUCAAGGAAACCACAUUUAAUUUCCUUCAGGAAAAGCAGAGCCCAGGAGAUCAAAGGGAAGAGCAAAACCAGUACACACUGAUGCAAGGAGGCUCCUGUGACCCAAAUACCCUGAAACAGACCUCUUUAAAACAUAUUUUUGGCAAGGAGAGAGGAGAUGGGAAGACAUGGGCUCUCAACACGCUGGUGGCUGUGCAGCCCCAGUUCUGGGCAGAAGGGCCUGGUCUCUUGCUGGCUGCUCCCUCUGCACAGCCUAACAGCAGCUGCAGGCAAGCAUCUCUCUGGAAAGAAUUUCACAUUUUCCACAAACUUUAUGGAAACCAGGAAAUCCAGUUAGGCACAUCAGGAGAGGGGGGUUGGGGCCUCGGGUGGAGAACGGAGAGGCACAGGGACGUGGUGCCUGCAAAGGAGAACCAAACCAGGAUGGGCAGAGGGUCCCAGACAACAGACAGACCAGACCACAACGUCUGCUCCAACUCCAAUUUAUUGAACAUUACAAAAUACUCUGCAUAUAUUUUCACAUUAUAACAAUAUCCUUGCAAAUAAUAUAUUAAGUCUUGAGUCAUUUGUGGUGCCCAUGGCUACAGAAAACACUGACCCAACUAGAGAUUUAGUAUGGCCCAAUAUCAGAAAUCAAAACUAGAGUAAGUCAUACCAGAAAUGCAAAACUAUAUAAAAACCUUUUAAAAACCUCAUGCUCGUCUGGUGGAACAGGUACAGAGCUGAAGGGCCUCUGCUGACAGGGCUGAGGGUCCCAUCAGCUCACCUGCUCCA